AAAAUGGGCCCGGGAAGAAGAAGAAGCCCAGCGUCGAUUAGAGGAGAACCGGCUGCGGAUGGAAGAGGAGGCAGCCAGACUCCGGCAUGAGGAAGAAGAACGGAAGAGAAAGGAGCUGGAGGUCCAGCGGCAGAAGGAGUUAAUGCGCCAGAGGCAGCAGCAGCAAGAGGCUCUCCGGAGGUUGCAGCAGCAGCAGCAGCAACAACAGCUGGCGCAGAUGAAGGUAAAGCCCGAGGCAUCAACCUUAGGAGCUCCUUGCUAACAUUUUUUAGUUAGCUUCCUUCUUCUUCAACGUGGGGCCAGCAGUCCAAUACAACAGCAUGUCAGUCCCAGGCCACGCUGUCGUUGGCUGAAAUCCAAAAACUAGAGGAAGAACGAGAACGGCAGCUUCGAGAAGAGCAAAGGCGCCAGCAGAGGGAGUUGAUGAAAGCUCUUCAGCAGCAGCAGCAGCAGCAACAGCAGAAACUCUCAGGUUGGGGGAAUGUCAGCAAACCUUCAGGUACCACGAAAUCUCUUCUGGAGAUCCAGCAGGAAGAGGCCAGGCAAAUGC
rnacentral:sRNA from 1 species